CAGCGACUUCACCCUCAGACGAAAGAGAACGCGCUGAGACUGCUACGACGUUUCGACGGACACCGCAAUCGAAUACUGUUAAUGAAACAGAACGUUUCUCUCAAAACAGGACAGGAGAAGAACAGCAGAAAAUCUUUAAGGCGCCUAAGAUGAACUUCCCAACCCGAUUUUCCUUUUAAGUUUUCUCGGAGCAAACAGAAAAGGCGAAAGAAAUUUCAACCCGG
rnacentral:misc_RNA from 1 species